GAACGAAACGGCUCGGGGUAAUACCCCGGCGCUAAUGAACGGUACCGGAAGAAUAAGCACCGGCUUAACUACGUGCCAGCAGCCGCGGUAAUACGUAGGGUGCAAGCGUUAAUCGGAAUUACUGGGCGUAAAGCGUGCGCAGGCGGUUCCACAAGUCAGAUGUGAAAUCCCCGGGCUUAACCUGGGAACUGCAUUUGAAACUAUGGGGCUAGAGUGUGUCAGAGGGGGGUAGAAUUCCACGUGUAGCAGUGAAAUGCGUAGAGAUGUGGAGGAAUACCGAUGGCGAAGGCAGCCCCCUGGGAUGACACUGACGCUCAUGCACGAAAGCGUGGGGAGCAAACAGGAUUAGAUACCCUGGUAGUCCACGCCCUAAACGAUGUCAACUAGUUGUUGGGUCUUUAUUGAUUCAGUAACGCAGCUAACGCGUGAAGUUGACCGCCUGGGGAGUACGGUCGCAAGAUUAAAACUCAAAGGAAUUGACGGGGACCCGCACAAGCGGUGGAUGAUGUGGAUUAAUUCGAUGCAACGCGAAAAACCUUACCUACCCUUGACAUGUCCGGAACCCUGCCGAGAGGUGGGGGUGCUUGAAAGAGAACCGGAACACAGGUGCUGC
rnacentral:rRNA from 1 species